CCUACGAGUGGCAGCAGUGAGGAAUAUUGGUCAAUGGACGAGAGUCUGAACCAGCCACGUCGCGUGAAGGAUGACUGCCCUAUGGGUUUUAAACUUCUUUUAUAUGGGAAUAAAUUGUUCCACGUGUGGGAUUAUGUAUGUACCAUAUGAAUAAGUAUCGGCUAACUCCGUGCCAGCAGCCGCGGUAAUACGGAGUCUCCGAGCGUUAUCCGGAAUUAUUGGGAUUAAAGGGAGCGUAGAGGGGUUGUUAAGUCAGUUGUGAAAGGUUGCGGCUCAACCGUAGAAGUGCAAUUGAUACUGGCAGACUAGAGUACAGUAGAGGUAGGCGGAAUUCGUGGUGUAGCGGUGAAAUGCGUAGAUAUCACGAAGAACCCUCAUUGCGAAGGCAGCUUACUAAACUGUGACUGACAUUGAUGCUCGAAAGUGUGGGUAUCAAACAGGAUUAGAUACCCCAGUAGUC
rnacentral:rRNA from 1 species